AACCUUUAGAGUUAAUUUUAAUUAAAGGCGUAUCCUGCUCAAUGAGAUUGAUUUAAAUGGCCGCAGUACACUGACUGUGCUAAGGUAGCAUAAUCAUUUGGCUUUUAAUUGGAGUCUAGUAUAAAAGGAAUGACUAAAGUUCAACUGUCUCUUAUGUAUUUCUUUUAAUUUGCUUAAUAGGUGAAAAUUCCUAUAUAUAAUCAAUAGACGAGAAGACCCUUAGACUUUUUUAUAAUUAAACAAUAAUUUAACUUAUUUUGUUGGGGCGACAAAGAUUCACAAGGAGAAACAAUCUUUUGAUUCAGAUUAUAGAUAUGUCAAGUUUUUCUUCUAAAAAUUAAAGUACCUAAGGGAUAACAGCAUAAUUAAAUUUUUAGAUUGUGACCUCGAUGUUGGACUAAGAAAUUAUUUAUUAAGAAAAUAAAUAAAAGGGUUCUGUUCGAACUUAUCUCUCUU
rnacentral:rRNA from 1 species